UAAGGUGACUGCCGGUGACAAACCGGAGGAAGGUGGGGAUGACGUCAAAUCAUCAUGCCCCUUAUGACCUGGGCUACACACGUGCUACAAUGGAUGGUACAAAGGGCUGCAAGACCGCGAGGUCAAGCCAAUCCCAUAAAACCAUUCUCAGUUCGGAUUGUAGGCUGCAACUCGCCUACAUGAAGCUGGAAUCGCUAGUAAUCGCGGAUCAGCAUGCCGCGGUGAAUACGUUCCCGGGCCUUGUACACACCGCCCGUCACACCACGAGAGUUUGUAACACCCGAAGUCGGUGGAGUAACCGUAAGGAGCUAGCCGCCUAAGGUGGGACAGAUGA
rnacentral:rRNA from 1 species